rnacentral:rRNA from 1 species
UACAGAGGAGCCAAGCGUUGUCCGGAUUGACUGGGCGUAAAGCGCACGCAGGCGGAUACGCGCGUGGGGUGUGAAAUCUGGCCGCUUAACGGCCAGGCGCCAUCCCAUACGGCGUGUCUGGAGCUGUGCAGAGGUCGGUGGAAUUCCCGGUGUAGCGGUGAAAUGCGUAGAGAUCGGGAAGAACAUCGGUGGCGAAGGCGCUCUACUGGACCACAACCGACACUCAGGGACGAAAGCUAGGGGAGCGAAUGGG